CCUACGGGAGGCAGCAGUGGGGAAUAUUGCACAAUGGGCGCAAGCCUGAUGCAGCCAUGCCGCGUGUGUGAAGAAGGCCUUCGGGUUGUAAAGCACUUUCAGCGAGGAGGAAGGUGGUGAGCUUAAUACGCUCAUCAAUUGACGUUACUCGCAGAAGAAGCACCGGCUAACUCCGUGCCAGCAGCCGCGGUAAUACGGAGGGUGCAAGCGUUAAUCGGAAUUACUGGGCGUAAAGCGCACGCAGGCGGUUUGUUAAGUCAGAUGUGAAAUCCCCGGGCUCAACCUGGGAACUGCAUUUGAAACUGGCAAGCUAGAGUCUCGUAGAGGGGGGUAGAAUUCCAGGUGUAGCGGUGAAAUGCGUAGAGAUCUGGAGGAAUACCGGUGGCGAAGGCGGCCCCCUGGACGAAGACU
rnacentral:rRNA from 1 species